GUCGUGAGAUGUUGGGUUAAGUCCCGCAACGAGCGCAACCCCCGUCGCAUGUUGCCAGCAUUUAGUUGGGGACUCAUGCGAGACUGCCGGUGACAAACCGGAGGAAGGUGGGGAUGACGUCAAGUCAUCAUGCCCCUUAUGUUCAGGGCUACACACGUGCUACAUUGGCGCGUACAGAGGGCUGCGAUACCGCGAAGUGGAGCGAAUCCCUUAAAGCGCGUCUCGGUUCGGAUUGUAGGCUGAAACUCGCCUACAUGAAGGCGGAGUUGCUAGUAAUCGCGGAUCAGCACUGCCGCGGUGAAUACGUUCCCGGGCCUUGUACACACCGCCCGUCACACCACGGAAGUGAGCAACACCCGAAGCCGGUGGCCUAACCCGCAAGGGAGGGAGCCGUCGAAGGUGGGGCUCGUGACUGGGGUGAAGUCGUAACAAGGUAGCCGUAGCGGAAGCUGCGGCUGGAUCACCUCCUUUCUAGGGAUAGCUCCAGGACAAGGAGCGCCCGACCGUCGGGGUCGCCGGCAUUCCGCCGGCACCUGCGACAUCGGGUCCUAGCUAUGUCGACCGGAUCUGGAAGGCCUGUCCCUCGGGGCGGGCUGCAUGCUGUUGAGUUUUGAGAGACCGGCGCCCGCCGGGUUCCCGCUCGAACACUCGAGGGAGCUCGCGCCGGCGCUAGUCGCCUCGGCGGACCUUGAAAACUGCAUAGUUGUCAACGAAACAACGGGUAUCACCGGUUGUCGGCCCAUAGCUCGUGGCCGGCAACUGAUCACCGUCAAGAUAGGAAGGGCACACGGUGGAUGCCUUGGCACCAGGAGUCGAUGAAGGGCGUGGACGGCUGCGAUAAGCCGCGGUGAGGCGCUGAACAGCCUGUGACCCGCGGAUGC
rnacentral:sRNA from 1 species